rnacentral:rRNA from 1 species
GUAGGGAAUUUUCGGCAAUGGGCGAAAGCCUGACCGAGCAAUGCCGCGUGAAUGAAGAAAUUCUUCGGAAUGUAAAAUUCUGUGGUGAGGGAAGAAAGGUAUUAGAAGGAAAUGGCUAAUAUUUGACGGUACCUUACUAGAAAGCCCCGGCUAACUAUGUGCCAGCAGCCGCGGUAAUACAUAGGGGGCAAGCGUUAUCCGGAAUUAUUGGGCGUAAAGCGUGCGUAGGCGGCCACUUAAGUCUGUCGUGAAAGCCCACAGCUUAACUGUGGAGGGUCGAUGGAAACUGAGAGGCUUGAAUCUAGGAGAGGUAAGUGGAAUUCCAUGUGUAGCGGUAAAAUGCUUAGAUAUAUGGAGGAACACCAGUGGCGAAGGCGGCUUACUGGUCUAGAAUUGACGCUGAUGCACGAAAGCGUGGGUAGCAAACAGGA